rnacentral:rRNA from 1 species
GUCCUAGCCGUAAACGAUGGAUACUAGGUGUCGGGGGUAUCGACCCCUCCGGUGCCGCAGCUAACGCACUAAGUAUCCCGCCUGGGGAGUACGGCCGCAAGGUUGAAACUCAAAGGAAUUGACGGGGGCCCGCACAAGCGGUGGAGCAUGUUGUUUAAUACGUCACUAACCGUAGAACCUUACCAGGGCUUGACAUCUGCUGACCGCCGGUGAAAGCCGGUUUUCCCCGCAAGGGGACAGCAAGACAGGUGUUGCAUGGCUGUCGU